UGGGGAAUAUUGGACAAUGGGCGAAAGCCUGAUCCAGCCAUGCCGCGUGUGUGAAGAAGGUCUUCGGAUUGUAAAGCACUUUAAGUUGGGAGGAAGGGCAGUAAAUUAAUACUUUGCUGUUUUGACGUUACCGACAGAAUAAGCACCGGCUAACUCUGUGCCAGCAGCCGCGGUAAUACAGAGGGUGCAAGCGUUAAUCGGAAUUACUGGGCGUAAAGCGCGCGUAGGCGGUUCGUUAAGUUGGAUGUGAAAUCCCCGGGCUCAACCUGGGAACUGCAUUCAAAACUGACGAGCUAGAGUAUGGUAGAGGGUGGUGGAAUUUCCUGUGUAGCGGUGAAAUGCGUAGAUAUAGGAAGGAACACCAGUGGCGAAGGCGACCACCUGGACUGAUACUGACACUGAGGUGCGAAAGCGUGGGGAGCAAAACAGGAUUAGAUACCCUGGUAGUCCACGCCGUAAACGAUGUCAACUAGCCGUUGGGAGCCUUGAGCUCUUAGUGGCGCAGCUAACGCAUUAAGUUGACCGCCUGGGGAGUACGGCCGCAAGGUUAAAAC
rnacentral:rRNA from 1 species